AUACCUCACAUUCCCCAGCACGGUUCCGACAGGCCCAUGAGUGGGGAGUCCUCAUGGCCUGGGAAGGUGGCCGAGAAAGUUUGAACAGCUGCAGAGCCUGCCCGUCCACUCUCUCCAGCCACAUUUGUGUGUGUGUGUGUGUGUGUGUGUGUGUGUUGUGUUUUGACCAACCUCUUAGGCUUAUGUAACACACUUGGAAGUCAAGAAGUAAGGACUCAUUACUGACAGCCUCAGAGAGGCUUGCGAAACACUUGCUGUGAAGAAAUCUUUCCAUUGAGAAAAAGUUCCCUGGUGCUCAUGCUCCCAGUGGCUCAGGCCUGGUCUGCACUCAGCGGCUGCCAGGACCUCCCGGGAGCGCCCACACACCCCACAGCCCGCCUGUCCUGGGAAUACCUCUCCAGGCCCUGAAUACCUGUCCCCCACUCCCUGCCUAGGACAACGGGGGCUGUCAGGGCCAUGGGCAGGCCCACCCCACCAACCAGACCCUACGUGGGCCCCGCCUUGGUCCCGGAGCCAAUGUCUGGCUGAUCAGGGAACAAGAGGAGCCUUCAACACCUCAAUUCUGGGACGGUUGAGGUUUUCACACCGGGCCACACCUGAGCCACUAGGAGCCGGGAGGCUCUGAUCGUCUCUCCGCCUGUCUCUCUCUGGCAUCGCCAGGGCUGACUUCAUUCCACGUCCGCGCGGAAACAGCAGGGCUAUCUCAGUGCAAUCCUGGUUUUGUAUUCAGAGCCUCCUCUGAGUGAGUGCCAGGGCGCACCGUGCAAGGAGCCUGGCUUUGCCCACUGCAAUCCCGUGCCCUCACCCUAGUCUUUUAACCUCUCACGACUCAGGUUCCUCAUCUGUGAAAUGGAGCUGUCUUCUUUGUGGGGUUAGUGGAAGCAAUAAGCGAGAAGUGUGUCCACACAGGCCCAGCCUUUCUGGGGCCUCACUGUGACCAGACACUGCGCUUUGGACUAGGGGAUGGGAUGCGACUUAGGGGAGCUGCGGCCACCUGUCUCUGGAGGCUGAAGUCUCCCUGCGGACCACCCUUCCUCAGGACCACCCUUCCUCACUUGCACGUCUCCCCUGCAGUCAGGACUCGCCUGCCCCCACGCCAGGCUCUCCCUAGUGGAUCAGGCUGUACAACCUGGUUUGUAUGAGGAAAGGCAGCCGCUGGGGCCCCAGUGCAGCAAGAGAGGGGAGGAGGAGGUGUUCAGAGGGAAGACCCCUCCCCACCCCCGUUGGCCCCUUGUCUUCAAAGGAAGGGCGUGACCUUUCUGCCCCCCAGACCCACCCUGAGGGUCACUGUGGCGGUGAAGCCUGGUGCCGGCACUUGUGCCCGCCCUCUGACUUGCAGUGUCCCGAGACAUAUUCAGGGGAGCCAGGUAUUCAAUCAGCAAGGCUCCCAACAAGAUGGGGUGGGUGGGAGAAGCACCCACAAUUCUCUAGAAGGCUUUCAGGGCAUUCUUCACUAAAGAGACACAUUGGAGUCUGGAACCCCUCCCCUAGCAGGGGGACACCUCCAAGCUGUGCUCAAAACUGGGACAGGAUAUUUGGGUUGGAGUGUUCUCCGUCUCUGCCUCUCUGUCUCUCUCUCUCCCUUUCUCUCUGUCUCUCUCUCUCUCUCCCUCUCUCCCUGUCUCUCUCUCUCUCUCUCUCUCUCACUCUCUCUUGCUCUCUCUUUCCUCCUGUCUCUCUAAAGGUCUCCUUUCCUCUAAGGGCAAAGCAGCAGCUGUCAGGUCCUUAGAGCAGGAUCCCUGGUUGGUGCAGGCCCAGGGCCAGCCCCUGGUCCCGGCCUUUCUUCCCCUGGGGGAUGAACAGUGAAUGCAGCCGCCCUGGGAGUUGGGCGACCUGCGGGGCUUGGAGGGAAGGGCAGGAGGGCCCAGGGCUGACACAGCACGCCUGGCUGGGGUGGGGGCAGUGGUGUGGGUGGCUGACCACAUUCCUGGGAUGCCGGGCUGCAGGGCUGGGCGGCUGUGUCUACACCUGUCUGCCCCUGUCGGCUGUGAGCAAUGCAGCCAGGGACAGGGCAGCUAGAGCCAUGCUGUGGUCUGGCCAGUGGGCCAGGCACGUGAGCUGGUUCAUGCCCUGCUGCACCAACAACGUUCACCUGGAGAGGUCAGUGGCCUCAUUGAGGGGAAGAAGGGCUCUGUCCCUAGAGUCUAGCAAGCCUGGGCCAUGGUCUGUGGGGCUUGUCAGGGUGACUUCACCUCUGUGAGCCUCAGUUUCCCUCCCUGGAAAGUGGAGCAUAACAUGGGUGGGGUCCCCGGUGCUGGCCUGCAGAGCCCUGGGAGACGUGUGGAGUACAAGCCCCAUACGCUAGGCCAAAAGAUCCGCAGACCAGGCAGCUUAACUGAUAGAAAUGAAAGUCCAAGAUCAAGGUGUCAGCAGGGCAGGCUCCUUCUGAGGCUGCGGGGAAGGAACUGGCCCAGGUUUCUCUCCUUGGCUUGCAGGUGGCCCAUGCCUCUCCACAUCAGCUUCCCUCCCAUGCGGCCUCUGUGCCUGAACUUCCUCUUUUAGUAGGACUGCGGUCAUAUUGGAUUAGGGCCCACCCUAAUGGCCUCCUCAGAACUUGGUGACCACUGUAAAGGCCCUAUCUCCAAAUCAGGAAAUGUUCCGGGGUCCUGGGGGUUAAGACUUCAACACAAACAUCUUGUUGGAGGGGGGUUGCAAUUCAGUCCACACCCGCUUCCCUCGUCUCACUUCGUCCAGCACUCAGCACCCUCUGGCCCUGCCCUUAGCUGUGGGUCUGGAUUUCCCAUCUCUUCCACGGUAAGCCCUGUGAGGGCGGCGUCUUUAUCCCAUUUGCUGUUACACCUGCAAUUCCUGGGGUGCCGGCUUGUUCUCAUCAUUUAGCAGACCAUUGCUGAAUGGCUAACAAAUCCAGGAUACAAUUUGUAGGUGCACCAAGCCAGGCAAGGUAUCUGCGUCACCUGCCCGUCAGUGGCCCCAGGCUGGGAAGACCCCUUGGGUCAUGCUUGGACACUCUGCACCAUGGGCAGCCAGAACUCCUGGCCGAGUGGUCAGCGGCCGCCACACCUUGCUGGAGCAGAGGCACCCCUGCCAUCCCACAGGCAAGACGGACCUAGCUCGGUUUCCCAACACUCUGUUGAGAUGGGGCUGCCCAGAAGCCCACACAAGCCCACACCUGGGGGAAUCCCAGCCCCACGUUCUGGUUCAAGUCGCUGCUGGUUUGGGUUCAGAGCCCAAACAUGAGCUCCUGCUCUUCUUGGUGUGAUCUGAGGCUGUGGAUAUCCUGAGAACAUCUGUCUCAACAGAACACCUUCCUCCAUGUUGCCUAUAUCCCAAAUUCACUCCCAAGUGGCUUUUGUCUGGCAGAUUCCGGUGGAUUAUGCAAAGAGGGACUGCCAGAGAAUCUGAGCUGUUGGAAGACUUCUGAAACGUCACUGCGGUGGCGGAGGCACUGCCCCGGGGGGACAAAAGUCUUGUCUCUUCCUCCAAAUGUGGAGGAUCAAAUUAGAGUUGACUUGUGUGUUUCCAAACCCGUUGUCGUCCCAGCAUUCAACUAAUUUGAAGAUACCAAAAGCCUCAGAAGAGGGUGGCAGAAGAAGAAAGGGACAAACACAAAAGGGGAAGGACAAGAGGGCAGACCGUUAAAAAAAAAAAAAACCUACAAGAAUGCAGUUUGCUCCUGGGUGGACCCUCCCACCCCGUGCCUGCCCCGAGCUGGCCCCUGACCUGUGCCGGCAGCUCAAAUUCCUAACAUCUGGCCCAGGGUCUCAGGUGUCACCUCUUGAAAAUUCAAAGGAGGAUCCUUCGAAUUCAUGAACCAGCAACCUCCCAGGAGGUGGGUCUUCCCACCCUGCACCAUCCGGCCUUAGGAAUUCAGUCUGGAGCCCUCCCUCCCCAGGGCCUGGGGCCUGGAAGUCGGAGCCAGCCAGAGCAGGGAAGGGUCGGGCCCUGGAAAUCCAGAGUGGCCUGCCUGGGCCGGGGUGGGGCUGGGCAUGGGGAGGCGUGGGUCCUGUCGGGGUUGGGACCAGCGCUCCAGCUUCCCUAGCUGAUUUGAGCAUUUAAUUUUAAUUCCACAAAUAGAGAAAAAGAAAGAAAACUCCUGAAAGUCGCGGCAGAUCCUCACGGCUCUGCAGAUGUCCUGCGGAGGUUGAGCCUCUGCACUUUGGCCUCAGCUGCCCAGGUACCAGUCUCAGCUACUGUCACUGGCGGUGUGGCCUGGGCAGCCAUGUCCCCUCCCCAGGCCUCAGUCUCCCAGUGUGUCAAAUAUCUGCCCCGUCUCAGGUCUCAUUCUGCUGCUUCCCCCUUGUGAUCAUACCCUGCCCCUCCCCACUCCCCAAGGACUUCUUGGCCUUAGCCCACAAACCUAUGCAGGUGGUUCCAUCAGAGACUGUCCCCCCCAGCCACCCCAGCCCUCAUCCUAAGUCCCAUGCUCCCCUCCCCUGCAGGAGGCCACUCCGUCCUCCUAGUACUCUCUUCUCCCAGCAUCUCCAGUUCUCCACUGCCCGCUUUUCCUGCUGCCCCACUUGCUGGUCCCCUGGAGUCCCCCAGACAUCAUCGCUCCUGCAGUCAGCAAGGAUUUGGUGGGUGCCUGUUGAGGGGGCCGCUCCUCUGGGGCUGGAGUGCAGCGAUGCGUGAAACAUUAUGAUCCCUGAUCGCCUGGGGCUUCUGGUCCCAUGGGAUUUGAGGGUUCCUUGGUUUUUUUCUCUUUCAACCCUUCUUCUCCCUGGGUGACCUCAUCAGUUCCCAUGGAUUGAAAUAUCCUUAUGCCAAUGACUUCCAAAUUUGUCUCUUCAGCCAUGACCUCUCCUCCAAACUCUGGACCCAUAUAUCCGGCCAUCCACUUGACAUCUCCCUUUGGGGUCUCCCAGACAUGUCAAGCAGAUCGUGUCCAAGCUGGUGUCCAAUCCUUUCCCAGGCAACUCAACUCCCAUCUUCCCCAUCUCAGUAAAUCCCACUGCCACCCCUCCACUAGCUCCAUCCAGAAACCUCUACAAUCUCCUUGCUUCUCCCUGUCCAUAUCCACGAUCAGGAAUCCAUCCACAGACCUGUGCAUCCUGUCUCUGCAGAUCCACAGCCUCACCCCCAUCAGCACCCCGGUCCAUAGAGAGAGACCUGGUGACACAGAUGGUACUUCAGAGAGAGGACAUGAAUGGUGUCUCUAGUCAUGAGAGUCAGGGUUUAGGUUGAAGCUACUCCGCCAGGGAGAAGUGGAGAUCCAGGGCCCAUCCAGGGACACGCAGGGAGAAACCGCUUCCCCCAGCCUCAGGGUGGAGCCCCUGGUUACCCUCUGAGCCCCAGAGCCUUGUGUCCCCAGGGAGGCAGAGGGUGGAAAAGACUGAUGGGUAGAGAGAGUGAGAGCAUCAAGACCCCUCUACACUGCAGUACAAGAGGCUCCCUUUUGGGUGGGCGUGACAGGAGACAUCCCAGUACGUGGAUCCCAGCCUUUGGACUUGGUGACUGUGAUCAGCUAAGAGUAAAACUGUUCUUGCUUUAUUCUUCUGGGAAAGGGCUACACCUGCUGGGUUCCACACCAGGUGAAGACCGGGCAGGUAUUCUAUUCAAAAGGGUGUGGCUUUGCCACCCAUUUGACAGGAGAGAAAACGGAGGCAUGGAGUUACCAGGAUGUGAGCAGCACAGCAGAGCAGUCCUGUUCAGGGCCUCACACUCCCUCCCCACAGCCCCCUUCCUGACCCUACAGCCCCCGUUCCAGGCAGUUCCUAGCACCAUAAGGUAAGUGGACAAGCCUCACUCUGGAAGGAGAGCACAGGGCCCUGUCCCUCCUGGGGGCCCGCUGAGAAGCACAGUGGAGUUCUCCAGGGACCACCAUCACACCGAGGACACGUUACCAUAAAGAAAGGGCCCCUGCUCACACACAUUUCCCAGUCACUAGCAGUGAGCACGUGGCAGCCUCCAGCAGCUCGGAUUCCUCCAGGCCACACCCUAGACCUGGCCACCCACAUUCUGGCUUCUCAGGGCACAUGGAGCAGCCAUUCCCCUGGGCUCUGGGCCCCAGGCACAAGAGACCCAGGCUUGCAGCUGUUUUGCAGAGAGUAAGGGCAAAAUGGAAGCUGCAGUGAUGAGGGAGAAGGUGCUGGGGAGAGGGAGAGAGAUAGCUGGAUGGGCAGGGCCGCUGUUGCUGGGACCUCAGCCCCAGGACGGGCAUCCUUUCAGCAAAAUCUUUGCUGGGCAGCUAUGGUGGGCUAGACACUGUGAGGUGAUGGCGUCUGGGCAAGACCUACAGGACAGGGGACGCGCAGCCCAGUGGGAAAGACAGGGAAUCAGCUCAACCGUCCACCAUGGGCCAUGUCAGAUCCAGUUAUCCUACCAUCCAGAAGCAGGGGGCCAGGAGGUUAAAUGACGUGCUGGUGGCCAUGGUGUGGGGGCAGAAGGGCCAGGGUUCAAAGCCAUACCCCUUUGAACAGAACAGGUGUAGCCUAUUUACCCGCCUCUCCCUCCAUCCAUCUGCACAUUAAUUCAUUCAUUCAUUCAUUCAUUCAUUCGCUGAGCACCUGCUAUGUGCUGGGCCCUGCUCUCAAGAAGUUUGGAUUCUGGUGGGGAGGAAAGAAAAAAUAUCCAGGUUCAUCAGACAAGCAAAUAAUACAACUACAAAAGUUGUCAAGAGUCUCCUGGAAGAGAAGGAGCUGGCUAUGUGGGGCCUGCACACACACGUAUGCAUAUAUUCACAUGCAUGUUCAUCCAUGUACACAUGUGUGCAUGCAUGUCUGUGUGUGCUUUGAGCAUGACUGUACCUGUGUAUCUGUGUGUGCACAGAUGUGCAUGUGCACGUGUCUAUCUGAGUGUGUCUGUGUGCAGGCAGGUUUCAUGGAUGUUUCUGUGCCUGCAUACAUGUGUGUGAGUGUGUGUGCAUGUGUGAAUGUGAAUGUAAUUCCCAACAGAGGUAUGAACAUAGCUCAGAGGUGGGUGGACUCAGUGGGAUGUGCUUUAGGGAGGAAAAGAGGCCCAGUGUGCCAGGGGUCAGGGCGUGGGGCAUUGAGGGGUUUCGGGAGGAAGGAGCACGUGGAGGCCAAGCUGUGAAAACCCUGUAGACCAUGAGAGGAAUUUGAGUUUUAUUCAAAAUGCAAAGGGAGCCAACAGAGGAAUUUCCACAUGGCUAGAAAAAAGCACACAGCCAUGGGACUGUGGGGAGCACGGAGUGGAGGGGGUGUGAGUGGAGGCAGAUGGCCAGGCCAGAGGCCAGCACUGCACCUGCCCAGGUGAGAAAGGCUGGGAGAUGAGAAGGAAACCCACACUGACCAAGAUUAAAAACAAUACGAUACAAGGAAUUAACAGCAGAUGAGACAGUGUAAAAAAAAAUAAUAAUAAUGAACUUAAAAACACAGUCAUAGAAAUUCUCCAAAAUGGAAUACAAGGAGAAAAAAGACUUAAAAAAAAGACAAGGAAGAACAGAACAGCAGUGAGUUCUGGGACAUCAAGUAGCCUAGCAUAGGUAACUGGAGUCCCCAAUGAACCCCAGUGAGCGUGACCCAGUAUCCGCCUAGUAGGACGCUGAAAUAAAAAUGACUGACCGACUCAGUGCCAGCGAGGACAUGGGGCCACUGGACCCCUCCCACACCACGGGUACCAGCUCUUUGGAAACCUCUUCUGCAGAUUCUUCCAAAGCUAAAUAUCCAUCUAUGUGUGACUCAGCCAUUCCACUCCUGGGUAUUCUCCAAAGGGAGAUUAAAGUGCACAGCCUCCCCAAAUCUCGUACACAAAGGUUCCCAGCGGCUUUAUUUGUAACAGCCCCAAGCUGGAAACCACCCAAAUGCCCAUCAGCAGGUGCUUGGGUAAGCAGAGGCCUGGGGUCACCGUUGGUUCAGCUGUUGGCCUCUCCUUCUGUCUCUCCAAGCGCCCUAGGGCAAGUGGCAUCUUCAAGCUGAGCCUUGGUUUCCUUUCCUGUGAAGUGGGUCUAGUGAGUGGGCCUGAUUUGAGGUGGUGGGCAGGAUCAGCGUGGCAUCACUGGGGAAGCUCGCAGCCGAGUGUGAAGGGCCCGGCAUGGAGGGGUGGAAGAUGUCAGGCUCCAAGCAGCCCCCGACGCUGGCAGUGCUCAGGCUGACCCUUGGCUGCCUCAGCUCUGGGAACCCCAUGCAGCACGAGGCGUCGGGGCAGGUAGUGGGGCCAUAGGAGGCGGCAGGGCCUGGGCUGUGGCCCCGUUCCCUGAAGGGCUCCGUGUGUUCCAUGCAGCGGGCAGGGUCAGGGGUCAUGUUUAAACGCGGGGGAGCCCAGGGCAGUACCUCCAGGCCGCAUGCUAUCCAAGUGGCGUGGGCAGGCGGCCCCUUGGAUGGUCUCGGGACAGCACAGCAAGGCCCUGGGCACUCACCUGACCAGUCACGUUGGGGCCGCCUGAGGGAACAGGCAGGCAGAUCCAACCCAUGGUGGGGGGCUGGGACUUAGGAUGGUUUGAGGGGUGCGCCGAAAGCCUGGGAAGGAGCCUGGGUGGGAGAGUGGAUGCCCGGCACACACACUCGAGUGGACCAGAGGCGGUUGGCUAGGCCACAGCUAUCCCGUGCCCAGCACCCUGGUAGCCAGUUCAGAGUGACUGUCCCAGCCCUAGCUGAGGGUAUGCAGCCAAAGCAGGGCACACCUGGUGUUUCUGGAAACCCCUCUCCCCAUGCCACUGCGUGCCAGCUCCAGUGGCCCCCGUGUCGGUCCUUAGGACUCUGGCCACCCACACGCUGAGCUCCCACAGGGCAGGUCCAAUGCCCAGCACACAGGGGAAGCUCAGCCCAUGUGCCGGCGGAACGGUGAGAUGGGUGUGAAUGAACAAAUGAAGCAUCUCUCUCCCCCUCCCCUCCCCAGCUUCUCAACCACAGAAUCUGUGCCUGGCUCAGGAAAUGUACCCUUCGUGUGGGUUUUCUAUUGCUGCGUAACAAAUGGUCACCAAUUGAAAAGCUUAAAAUGGCAUUUAUCUAUUGUCUUAAAG
rnacentral:lncRNA from 1 species